UUGCCGCACCAAAUGCCCGGCGUGGACAGCGAAUGGAACCCAUACGGUGUGUAAAGUGCUUUGUACGGAAACGAAAGCCGGGGCUCAUAUCCCCAGGUCAUGACGGUACCGUAAGAAUAAGCACCGGCUAACUACGUGCCAGCAGCCGCGGUAAUACGUAGGGUGCAAGCGUUGUUCGGAAUUACUGGGCGUAAAGCGUGCGCAGGCGGUUUUGUAAGACAGUGGUGAAAUCCCCGGGCUCAACCUGGGGACUGCCAUUGUGACUGCAAGCUAGAGUGCGGCAGAGGGGGAUGGAAUUCCGCGUGUAGCAGUGAAAUGCGUAGAUAUGCGGAGGAACACCGAUGGCGAAGGCGAUUCCCCUGGGCCUGCACUGACGCUCAUGCACGAAAGCGUGGGGAGCGAACAGGAUUAGAUACCCUGGUAGUCCACGC
rnacentral:rRNA from 1 species